rnacentral:pre_miRNA from 1 species
GAUUUCAACUAAAAAAAGUCAUCAACAACAAAGUUGUAUAACUCACCAAGAUCUAUAACUUUUAUGUUUGUCAUUUAUUCAUCCGAUAAAGUGUUAGUAAUAUUAUUCACAAAUUUUACAUAUCUGUGUUAUGGUUUAUAAACCAAAUGAGAGAUAUAUGAAUUUUGUGAACAAUGUUACUAUCACUUUAUCGGAUGAAGAAAUGACCAAAAUAAAAGUUAUAGAUUUUGAUGAGUUAUAAAACUUUGUUGUUGAUGACAUUUUAGUUGAAAUC